UCCUGGAUAGAGGAAGUUAGGCAAAUGUAGAGUAUUUAAAUGAUUAAUUAGAUGACCAAAUAGACACCUCUUAAUUAGAUUACUUGUCAUAAUCCAUGCUGACAAGUAAUCCAAGUAAGUGACACCAAAUAAUAGUCCAUAAAAUCUCCAUUUUCUCCUUAUGCCAACAAAGACUGAACAGUUGCUGAGUAGUCAGGACACAACUUCCCAGACCUCAGCCCUCACGCUGCUAUUCCCUCUUUUGUUCGUUAGUAUCGAGCAACAGAGAUACUCUCUGCAAGUAUACAUACAAAAACACCUUCAUCGCGGAUAGAUAGCUAAUUCUCAUUCCGAUUCCGACGUACCUCUCAUAUUCUUGUGCUUCACCAGUAAGUCUCCCUUAUGCAUAUAUCUGUUCAAUUUGAGAUAUACAUAUGCAUAUAUCUGUUCAAUUUGAGAUAGGAUUUCUGCAUAGAUAUAUAUGCCUUGUUAUACUUGUUUAGGCGCAUGAGAUACAUUUAUGCAUACGAUUGAGUUGCUAUAGAAUACAUUGAUGGUGCACAAGAAGCGGACCGUCGCUCCUCGUCCCAAACACUCAAAUGCCCCCGAAGAUGCGGCAAUUCCGUUGAUUGAAUCGGAACAAAACCUAGUUUCAGUUUGUCCAUCAGUUCAGAAUAAACUAUCGAGCAAAAAGGACGCUUCGGCUGUUGUUGAACGUGAGAAGAAUGCCUUAUCGUCGUCGUUAGCUUUUUAUGCUUCAAUAAAGCUCGAGUGUGAGCGUGCCCUAACAUCCCUGCGCCGGGGGAACCAUACGAAAGCCCUAAGAUUGAUCAAGGAACUUUCUAGCAAGCAUGACAACUCGCCUCAUGCACCUCUUAUUCAUCGUGUCCAGGGCACUGUUUGUGCUAAGAUGGCCUCUAUGAUUGAUGAUCCCAAUGCUAAACAUAGACAUUUGAAGAAUGCCAUUGAGAGUGCUAGGAAAGCUGUUUCACUGUCUCCAAAUUCGAUUGAGUUUGCACAUUUCUAUGCUAAUUUGUUGUAUGAGGCUGCAAAUGAAGGGAAGGAAUAUGAGGAAGUUGUGCAGGAGUGUCAAAGGGCAUUGGCAAUUGAGAAUCCCAUAGAUCCUGCAAAACAGAGCUUAAAGGAGGAUAGUCAACAGAAGGAUGAGAAACCUCAUGCUCGGAUUGACCAAGUACGUAUUGAACUCCAAAGUUUAAUUCAGAAGUCGAACUUUGCAUCCAUUUCUACUUGGGUGAAUCAAAUAGGCAAUGGUGUGGAAAAAAUCAGGUUGAUCCCAAUUAGGAGGGUGCCAGAGGACCCAAUGGAGAUGAGGUUGGUUCAAGCAAGAAGGCCAAAUGAGAUUAAAAAGGUGACUAAGACGCCUGAAGAGAGGAGGAAGGAGAUUGAGGUCCGAGUGGCUGCUGCAAGGCUGUUGCAAAAGAAGUCUGAAACUGUCCAAACGCACAAUGAUGAGGAUAAAGCUCUGGAUCUGACAACAGGAUCAGAGCAGAGAAUUGGUGAGAGGAGGAAGAGCGGAAAUGCAAGGAAAAAUCCGUCUUCCACGGAGAGAAGGGAUUCGGUGCAGUCAUAUUGGAACUCCUUGACUUUGGAUAAGAAGAAAGAGUUGCUUAGAAUUACAAUUUCAGAUCUUAAGGCUCAUGUAAGUGCGUCAAAAGACGGAUUGGGUAUUGAAAUUCUAUCUGAGGCUCUAUCAUUAUCUGAAACCAAUAAAGAUUGGAAGUCUUGGAAAUGUUAUCGCUGCAACGAAAAAUUUACUGAUUCUGUAUCACACAACUAUCAUGUUGUGCAUGAACACAUUGGAACUUUGUGUCCUAAAUUGCAGUCCAUAUUGCCUCAGAAUGUGGAGAACGAGUGGGCCGAGAUGCUUCUGAACUGUUCUUGGGAACCCUUAGAUGUUUGUGCGGCUGCAAAGAUGCUUGAUAAACAAUCAAGAUCUCAAGAACAGGGUUUUCUUGAUGAAAAGCACCCAAGAGAUAACACAGAAGAGGAGGUUUUCUGCAAUGAAGACAAAUUGGAUUCAUCACCUAGAAAUAAGAAGUUUGGGGAUAUACGAAAUGAUGAUAAGGUUGAGAGCAGAGUACAUGAUAAGAUCUCAGACAUUGAGAUUGAGUUGAUGGAUUGUGAUGGGAAUUAUGGUACUAAGAAUUGUUUCCUUCCUGACAAGUGGCCACUAUCUGAUGAUCCCGACCGAACAAAGCUUCUUGAAAGAAUUUCUGCUGUAUUCCAGACCCUUAUUGAAAGUAAAUGUCUUGCUUCAAGUCACCUCAGCAAGGUUAUUCAUUUUGCAGUGGAAGAGCUUCAGGGUCUUGCUUUUGGCUAUCAGAUUCUUAGCUACAAUGUUGAUCAAACUCCCUUAUGCAUAUGCUUUCUAGGUGCCCAGGAAUUAAAAAACGUGCUGAAGUUUCUGCAAGAGCUUUUGCAUUCUUGUGGCUUAGGUAGGUAUUACGAGAAAACUAGUUCUCGAGAUGGAGCAGGCAGUGCUAGUCAAGGAGUUGACGAUCUGGAGAAAUUAGUUUUCAGUGAAGAUGGUUCAUGUUUAUUGUUUGAUGAGCGUUUUCUGCCGUGCAAACUUGCUCGAAGUUCAUGUCCAGAUAUAGUUUCUAUUGACGGAACUGCAUAUGUUUUGUCUAGUAAUCAGCACCAGAAUGGAGCUGAACUUGAUCCAGAGGCAUUGUUGUCCUGGAUAUUUACCGGUCUAUCAAGUGUAGAACAAAUGGCAUCCUGGACAUGCGCAAGAGAAGAGAAAGCACAACAAGGUAGCGAAAUUCUUCGUUUUCUGGAGGAGGAGUUUUAUGACCUGCAAUGUUUAUGUGAGAAAAAAUACGAACAUUUAAGUUAUGAGGAAGCACUGGAGGCAAUUGAAGAUAUUUGUUUAGAAGAGGGUAGGAGAAGAGAUCAUGCAACUGAAAUUGUCCGACGAAGUUGUGAUUCUGUUUUGCGGAAGCGGCGAGAAGAUCUUAUAGAAAGUGACAAUGAUGUUACAGUUAUUGGCUAUAGGUUUGAGUUGAAUGCUAUAUCAAAUAUUCUGAAGGAAGCAGAGUCUCUCAAUGUCAAUCGGUUUGGUUUUGAGGAAACUUACAGUGGUGAAACAUCUCAACUUUGUGACAUCGAAUCUAGUGAAGAGGAUGACUGGAGACUGAAGGACUACCUUCAUCAAGUGGACUCUUGUGUGGAAGUUGCACUACAGAGACAGAAGGAACGUGUCUCCAUUGAGCUGAGUAAAGUAGAUGCUCGAAUCAUGCGAGUGGUUGCUGGGAUGCAGCAGCUGAAAGUAAAGCUUGGGAAUGCAUGUGCUCAGGAUUAUCGGAGGAUUUUAGUAACUCUGUUGAAAUCAUAUAUGCGGGCACAUCUGGAGGAUCUGGCUGAGAAGGAUGCUACUGAGAAGUCUGAUGCUGCCAGUGAAGCUUUUUUGGCUGAACUUGCUUGUGAUUCCAAGAAUAGUUCUGGUGGAGGCAAUGGUUGUUCUAAGCAUACACAUGAAAAAAUUAAAGAUAAGAAGAAAAAAAAAGAAUAUCGGAAAACCAAGGGUUCAAAGCCUACUAGUGGCAACGAACUGCAUUUGCUUCGCCAUCAGACUAUGGAGGAUGUCUCAUUUGUAGUUACUCAUGAUGGAGAGAAUCAAGGUGAUGAAACUGUUGGAAAUGGUGAUUCCUUGAAUGAACAGGAGGAGUAUAGACGUAUGAUUGAACUCGAAGCUGAGGAAAGAAAGCUUGAAGAAACUUUGGAAUAUCAAAGACGAAUGGAGAAUGAGGCUAAACUGCAGCAUCUGGUCGAGCAAACUAAGAGAACUGCAAAAACAUGUCCAGGGAGUAUUAAUGCAGUUAUGAAGUCUGAUACUUGCUCGAAGAACAGUGAUAAUGGUCCAGUAAUCGACGAGCAAUUGAAGAGUAGUAAGAAGAUGAACGAAUUCCCGGACAGUUCACGAAGUCUUUCAAAAACCAGUGCUGAAGGAAUGACACAGAGAACUGCAGAUAGUGGAACAAAGACAUUGAGACAGCUACAUGUGGAGGAGGAUGAUGAAGAGAGGUUCCAAGCUGACCUUCAGAAAGCUGUUCGGCAAAGCCUUGACACGUUCCAUGCACAUAAGAAGUCGCCCUUGCUGCCUAGUUCAGGGAACGGACAAAAGGUGUUUCCCAAGGCUGGGACUUUGGGCAAUGCAAAUAGUUUUGGAGAUCUAAAUAAAAUGGAUGUAUAUGGCACUGGGCUAAAGAAUGAAGUUGGGGAAUAUAAUUGCUUUCUUAAUGUCAUCAUACAGUCGUUGUGGCAUCUAAGAAGAUUUCGAGAUGAAUUCCUGAGAACAUCAUCUGAACAUUUUCAUGUUGGUGAUCCAUGUGUGAUAUGUGCUUUGCAUGACAUAUUUAUUGCUUUGAGCACUGCUUCAGCUGAAACAUGCCGAAAGAUGGUUGCUCCUACUUCUUUGAGAAUUGCCCUCAGCAACCUGUAUCCUGAUAGUAAUUUUUUCCAGGAGGGUCAGAUGAAUGAUGCAUCUGAAGUGCUGGGUGUAAUAUUUGAUUCUCUACAUCGGUCGUUUACAUCAGCUUCAGGUGUUUCUGAUACUGAAUCUGCAGAUAGUAGCUGCAUGGGCAUGUGGGAUUGUUCAAAUGGUGCUUGUAUUGUACAUUCUCUUUUCGGGAUGGAUACCUUUGAACAAAUGAAUUGCGACAAUUGUGGAUUGGAGUCCAGACAUCUGAAGUAUACAUCUUUCUUUCACAAUAUUAAUGCCAGUGCCCUCCGUACUAUCAAGGUUGUGCGUCCAGAAAGCUCCUUUGAUGCGCUUCUGAAUCUUGUUGAGAUGAACCAUCAGUUGUCUUGUGAUUCUGAGGUUGGUGGUUGUGGGAAGCUUAACUACAUCCAUCAUAUUCUCUCCACUCCACCUCAUGUGUUUACAACAGUUUUAGGUUGGCAAAAUACUUGUGAGAGUGUAAGUGACAUAACAGCAACAUUAUCAGCUCUUUCUACUGAGGUGGACAUAGGUGUACUUUAUCAUGGUCUAGAUCCUAAAAACAAACAUUGCUUAAUUUCAAUGGUAAACCUCUUCCGACUCUUUUUCAUUACUUUUUGGAAAAACAAACGUUUGAUUUUACAGGCUGAUAGUGUCCAGUGACAAUUCAUCGCAUCAAUAGUAUUAUCGUUAUUCUUGGUCUCAUCAUUUGAUUACACAAUUUUUUGUGAUUUUCUUGGUCCAUGAAAAGUUGUUUUUGUAUUGCUAACAUUUACCGUGUGAGAGGCAUAAACUUUUCAAAUUUUAAAUAAGAAAAUUUAGAAGAUAAAAAAAUAAUUAGCUGGCAGUCAACGUGCCAACUGCAUUUCAGAUAAUCAUCCCUUGUUCCUGUUUGAAAAUUCUUGCAUUUUUAUUUAUUAUAUUGCAUUCUCAACCAAUUCUUUUUACCCAUAAACAAAUGGCUCUCAAUGAAUAUGUGGAUAAGAACUAAUCUUUCCUAGAAGCCUGAUCGACAAACGAAAAGAAGUCUAGUUUCCUUGAAAGGUAUUGUUAGGGAGUAUCUUCUGUUCAUUUUAGAAAAGUACUUAUGUCAAGCCUUGGAAACAGCCUCUGGCAGAAAUGCAAGGUAAGGCUGCGUACAACAGACCCUUGUGGUCGGGCCCUUCCCCGGACCCUGCGCAUAGCGGGAGCUUAAGUGCACCGGGCUGCCCUUUUUACUUAUGUCAUCUUAUAAGCAUUUGGUCUUGAAUGAUUUUGCUUUAAAUGAUGACAUUCCCAUUAAACCAAAGUUCUUUUAAUUUCCAUUUCCUAAUUUCAAUAAUAAUUAGCUUUACUGUUUCCACUUCAGAGCUGGACUGAUAUUGCAGAACUUUAAUAAUCUAGCUGUACUUUCCAUCCACUUUUGGAUAAUUUAAUUUUUUUUUUGGUCUGUGUUAUUUAUCAUAACAUGCUUAAGAUUUGUGAUUAUUCAAUUCCCCCCCCCCCCCCAGAAAAAGAAGCAGCAAAAGGAUACCCAAUUUCUUGUCUUGAUGUUUUUCUGCAUUAAAAGAUCUUCCGCAGUCAAUGGUGAAAACCAUGGGAGGCCAGACUCAAGAGUUCAAAUCCCAAUAGAGACAAAAAUGUGUUAAUGAUUUCUUCCAAUUUGCCUAACCCUUGGUGGUGACAAUGUCCUGGUACCUUUCCUAGUGCUGAGGUGCAUGCAAGCUGGCGGGAGGCAUCGCCAUUAGAGAAAACAAUGAUAGCAACUAUACUUCAAUCCAAAGAUAGAUGGGAUCGGCUGUUUGCUAUUAUGGGCAGCAUUAUCACUGUUUUGCCUACAUUUGUGAGCAUGGGCAGUGGGUCAUGUAUGACGACAAAACUGUGA